ACCGGGGCUAAUGCCGGAUAAUAUGCGGAACCGCAUGGUUCCGCAAUGAAAGACGGUUUUGCUGUCACUUAUAGUAUGGACCCGCGCCGUAUUAGCUAGUUGGUAAGGUAACGGCUUACCAAGGCAACGAUACGUAGCCGACCUGAGAGGGUGAUCGGCCACACUGGAACUGAGACACGGUCCAGACUCCUACGGGAGGCAGCAGUAGGGAAUCUUCCGCAAUGGGCGAAAGCCUGACGGAGCAACGCCGCGUGAGUGAUGAAGGUCUUCGGAUCGUAAAACUCUGUUAUUAGGGAAGAACAAGUGCGUAGGUAACUAUGCGCACCUUGACGGUACCUAAUCAGAAAGCCACGGCUAACUACGUGCCAGCAGCCGCGGUAAUACGUAGGUGGCAAGCGUUAUCCGGAAUUAUUGGGCGUAAAGCGCGCGUAGGCGGUUUUUUAAGUCUGAUGUGAAAGCCCACGGCUCAACCGUGGAGGGUCAUUGGAAACUGGAAAACUUGAGUGCAGAAGAGGAAAGUGGAAUUCCAUGUGUAGCNNNNNNNNGCGCAGAGAUAUGGAGGAACACCAGUGGCGAAGGCGACUUUCUGGUCUGCAACUGACGCUGAUGUGCGAAAGCGUGGGGAUAAGACAGGAUUAGAUACCCUGGUAGUCCACGCCGUA
rnacentral:rRNA from 1 species